rnacentral:rRNA from 1 species
CGGACGUGGAUAACCUGCCUCACACAGGGGAGUAACAGUUAGAAAUGACUGCUAAUACCGCAUAAGCGCACGGCAUCGCAUGAUGCAGUGUGAAAAACUCCGGUGGUGUGAGAUGGAUCCGCGUCUGAUUAGGUAGUUGGUGGGGUAACGGCCUACCAAGCCGACGAUCAGUAGCCGACCUGAGAGGGUGACCGGCCACAUUGGGACUGAGACACGGCCCAA